GCUAGCGCUAGACAGCAUGGGAUUGGGGGGAGGUGCGGGGAGGAACCGAGGGGUGUCUGGGGCAGGGCUAGGGUGGGUUAGGGGAAAACGCUGAGUGGAGUGGGGACACAGCUAAUGGAACGCUUUCAUUUUAGUUCUUUUCCGUUGCGAUAGGAGCCAUGAUGGCAGCACGAAAAGCAAAAACUAUUGGCGUAAGUUUGUUGAGGGCGGUGCGGUCUUGAAUAUCUAUUCAAGAGCCCUAUCAGAAAGGCCACCACUGUGCAAUUCCUCGUUAGUAUAGUGCUAUAAGUACCAAAACCGAAAUAAAACAUUAACAUCUGAGAAGCGAAUUAUGACACGUGCACUGACCACAGUGGCAAUAAUAGAACAGCGGCAAGUCUACUGUGAAAAUCAAAGGAAUGUUGAAAGAUGCUUGGCAAUUUAAUUCUAAACAACUUUUAAGGAGACCUGAGAAAUGAGAAACAGCCUGUGUUAUUCAACAAAACAGAUCACACCAGAUUAAGUUCCUGAAAAGGGCUUGUAACAUUGCAAACAUUGUAUGUUUUGAAAGACAGGAUAACACCUCUUCUACCGCUUGCAAAGACUUCUCAUCCCCACCCCCCCACCCCCCCACCCCCCCACCCCCGUCUUGCUUCACGUAGACUUCCUGCGAGUGUUUAGUGUAAUUUUCAGAUACUAAGUGCACUCUGCCACACUAGCCGCCUAGGAAAGGGCUGUGGGGACGAGGGAUCUGUAUUCAAACUAGUGAUUAAUGUUCACUCCGCUGCCAGAUGCUCCCGUGAUGACCUAAUCCAUCAUGGUGCUUGGCUGCAAGACAGGGCCCAGGGAGCAUGAUACAUGAAGUUCUGGAGGGGCAAGUAUGACCUCUUUGGGAAGGGUCAGGAGUAACAGCAUAGAGAGCAAAACAUCUGAGGUGGGCUUUGAAAGCCAUGAGGAGAGCAGAGAAACCAAGGAAACAGCAGGAACUGAAAACGGAGGCAUUGGCUGAAACAGCGGGGCUGGGGAUGUGGGGAGAACAAUUCUAGGUAUUCAAAACCCAACUGUUUAACGGAAAUCCUUUAACCACACAUUAAAGUUUCUUUGUGUA